CCGCGCCUCUGGAGCGCUCCCGCCGCCCGCUCGGAGGCGGCGGCUGGUUUGGGUUUUGUUUCGGGGUAUUUUUUGCUGCCGUUUGGAUUUCUCUCUUUCUCUUUUUCCCACUCCCUUUCCCCUUUUUGGGGAUCUUUUUCGGGUUUUUUUUGGGUUGGGAUCGGGUAUUGUGGGCGCAGGGAGGUUGUGCCGUCGCUCCUGGAAGUCGGUUUCCCCUUCUUUCUUCUCACCUCAGCCCCCAGACAUUAAUGGAUGCGGGGCAGGAGGGAGCGAGCCUAGUCCUGGGAGGAGGAGAGGGGAGGAGGCUGCCGAGGAGGGAGGGCGUAGGGGAUGGCUUGCCGGGCCUUAGGAAACACAGUGAAAAGGCUGGGGCUCAGUCCCAGGGAGGGCGGCCUUCCUCCCCGCCUUAUAGCGAGGGGGCCAUCACAUGGCUCCCAGCGUCAGAGCGCGGUGGGGGGAGCGGCGCCGUGUCUCCCCCCACCAAGAAAGGCGCCUCGCCACCGUCCCGGCCUCCCCGGCCUCACCCUAUCCAGGAGGGGCUCGGGGGGGUGGGCUUCGGGGAGACCGGUGCCAUCUUUGUUGGAAAAGGGGAGAAAUAAAGGUAACACUUGACUCUCCCGGAAAAAAAAAAAAAAAAAAAAAAAAAGUGCAAGUCUGUCGCAAAGUGCAGGAGCAUCUUCCCAGAAACCGUUCGGAAGGUCUAGGAGCUUCGCAUCUUCCGGGGCUGCCCUCAGAGACGGGGUGCUGCUUGCCGUGGAAAGGAAGGGGGGAAAAAAUCAGAUCGGAGAGGGAGAUGGUGAUCUAUGCGACGACAGAAGACCGGGGCCCCCUUUAUGUAAGGCAGGGGGAAAAAAAGGCAACAAAAACUCCAGCAAAGAAUCCAAACAAAAUAAAACCCCCACAAAUUUGGACAGAAAUGCAAUUACCAAGGUCUUAAAAAGAAAGGCUUUGAAAAAGCCCAUCGUUCCCAGUUCUGGCAGGAUAAACCACACUCAGGAUCCGACUGGGAUAGGAGCAAGGGAGCAUUUCGUUCUUCGGCAGAAAUCGUCGUGAGAAGGGCAGACUGAUACAUAAAGUCUUAUUGAUCACAUCCCUCUUUUCAAACAACUCACACACCCAAUUUCUUGAAAUACGUUUUCAAUAUAUUGUCCUAACCCAAAGCUACAAGCCACCCUGUUUCAAACCCAGCUCCAUCGAUUUACAACAUAAUCCUUUCUACUAUUUCCAAAUAAUCCUAUUUACAUUUUGCUCACUACUAAGGAGCCUGCAAGACAAUACCACCAAAAGCUACAAAACAGGGAAAAAAAAAAAGAAAAAAAGAAGAUGGAAAACCCCCCCAAACCUCUAGAUCCAGCAACUGACCACUUUUUUUUUUUUUCUUUAGAUAAAUAGACAUCACUCGAGAUUUACAGUUCAUACAGUUAAUAAAAUCUCUCUUCAAAUUA